rnacentral:lncRNA from 1 species
AAUUCCUGAAGAAAAGGUUAGAUAAUUCAUCUUUGAAUCAGGUACCAGAUUCAAUGUAAAUGCAUUGUCCAUUAUAUAUAUAAAUGUCAACUUUACAAGUUCUUACCCUCUAAUUAUUAUUGACUGUCUUUGCAGUACUAGAUUCAAUGGGGGAUAAUUAAAAAGAAAACAAAGGGGUAACGUGCAGCUGCAAUUUCAUUAACAUUAUAUAUAUAUAUAUAUAGGUAUUGAGUUGAUUGAUAUGAGAUGGGCCAUUGAUGAUGGAAGCUAGAAAGCAGCAAUGGAAUUAGUGGAAUGAGAUGAAGUGGGAACAUGUGUGGCUUUCCACAUUAACCACUAAUGAAUGGGUAAAUUUUUGUUUCUCUUUUUAUAUGAAAAAGGGGGGACGGCCAUUAAGAUUCAAUGUGCGGACAAUAGGGUUGAAAUGGAACAGCUUUUUAAAUGGGCAAAAAGGUGUUGAAAGUGGAAGAAGGUGAACACAAAGACAGGGAUAUAUUGUUUGUGUCUAUAUGAUGUUCGUCAAAAUGCUCCAAUCAACCCCACACUUCCAUUUCUACUAUAGAACAAGUAGGGAAACCCACAUGUUCUACAUUGGAAAAAAAAUCAGUAUCUCCAAGGAAAAAAACAACAAAAAAGUUACAUUUAAAGUUUCUUUUCUUUUUCAUUGUUUUGAUUCUACAUAAAAACUUGUAUAACUCCAACUACAAAAAAGAACAGUAACAUCACUUGAAAUGAAAAUUGCAAAAGAAAAAUGGCGAUGGACCUCGAAACUCCGGUGUCGG